rnacentral:tRNA from 1 species
GGGGGAGCGCAUUGGCGAGCAAAGCGGAUUCCAAAUCCGUGCCGAGAGGCUUGAGGGUUCGACUCCCUACUCCCCCGCCA